rnacentral:rRNA from 1 species
GAUCAUGGCUCAGGAUGAACGCUGGCGGCGUGCCUAACACAUGCAAGUCGAGCGAAGCAUUUUGAAGGAAGUUUUCGGAUGGAAUUUGAAAUGACUGAGCGGCGGACGGGUGAGUAACGCGUGGGUAACCUGCCUCAUACAGGGGGAUAACAGUUAGAAAUGACUGCUAAUACCGCAUAAGCACACAGUACCGCAUGGUACAGAGUGAAAAACUCCGGUGGUAUGAGAUGGACCCG